ensembl:lncRNA
GCGCAGCGCAGCGCAGCGGCGGGCAGCGGCGCAGGGCUGCGGGCGGGGAUCCCCCGGCGUGACAGAGCAGAAAUGCCCGCUCAGGGGAAGCGGCCGAGGGACGCGCACAGAGCGCAUCGCAGGGCGUUGCUGGUGGUGUUGGUCACCCAGGGAGAGAUCCACCAAAAACUCAUGCAUGGGUUGGAAGAAAAGUUAAAGAGUAACCAGAAACUACUGGAGAAAUGGGACUCACCUGCAUGGAAGGGAAGUGAAGACUCACUUCAGCAUGAGCUUGCACAAGUCCAAAUUCUUGUUCUUUUACAUAAAACAUGCUCUUGCCAUGGGUUUAGGCCAUGCCCUAUGCUUCCUGACACUCAAACCCCAAACUCAGUGCAUGCUUUAGUGAAAGCACGGAGCUCUUCUCCUCCCAAGGGAGGCCAGCAGGACUGCCCUGGGCUUUGCUCUGUGUUCAGCCCUUCUGCAUAGAGGGUCAACAUCUGAACACAAAGCUAUUUGUUGAGUGGAUAGAGGGCAAUGGAGGUGGUAAUCCUGAUCAGAAGACCACUCUUUGCUUGCAGAGUAGCCCCAGGCUACACUCCGUGGUGUGUGGCACUGGGACAAUCUGUUGGAUCUAGGCUUAUCUCAUUCUGCAGUCAGCAAACUAGUGAUGGAGUUGAGCUAAAGCUGUCCAAUGGCUGAAUCAGUGAUGUCUCUUUGCAAGCUACUCUCCAUUUACACAACAAAUGAAUUACCAAUUGAGUUGCCAAGCAAAGGAACGGUCCAAUUUUGCAAUUAGAGCCUUGACAAAUAUACCAUUCACUGCCAGAGACAAAAGCAAAAGUUGCCAGUGUUUAGCAGAAGCAGAUGUUUUGGAAAGUUUUAAUGGAUUUCCCAACUUUCAAGCCACCAGCACCAGCCGGUGUAAUUCUUCCAGCUGUCCAAAUCUGUGUCUACUGAGCUGUGAGCAGACUGGGAGGAGAACUCCAGAAGAUGAGUUAUAUGGAGUUGUUAAGAGAAAGAGCAUUUUAACAGAAGGUGGAAUCUCAUUUUUUGGAGCUCUAUAGCUCUAUCUAUAGCUCAGCUGGGGAAAUGUGUGUUCAUCUAACGGAUAUGAAAGCCACAGCCCCUCAAAGCUUGCUAUAGAGCAUUUAAUCAAAUGGCUGUUGCUAAGCCUUGCACCACAAUGCAGGUGGCUUUCUCCAAUGGAAUUGAACUUCAUUUUGUGUUCUUUGAAAACUAAAGUUCAUUUUGGGCACACUCUCGUAAUUACAUUUGCUUAGAAAGCAAGGAUAGCCAGGCUGCUUUACUGAACCCUGUUCCUUUAAUUUAGCAAUACCCAUUUUGCCCAGCACACUGAACCCCCAUCAGCAUGGAUGGGGUUCCUUUCCCAGCUCUCCGCUCUUUGCUUCACUCACCUCCUGCACCUGCACAGGGCUGGGAGCAGUGAUGACCGCUGUGGUCAGUUUGCUCUACAAAUACCUUAGCCCCAAACAGGUGCCCAAAAGAGUCUCCUCACCUUGAUUUUGUAGCAAUUCCUAUUGGAACAUGGAAAACUCUGUAUUAUUUGACAUCAUAGCUAUUGUCUUGGUUUAUCUUUGCUGCAUGCUUUUUGAUAAGCAGCAGAAUCCUCACUGUAGAGGUGCAGAGAAGCAGUUGGACUGAACAACCACAUCACUGAUGUUUUGAUCAGAUUGCAUCUUACUGCAACUCCUGCACCUUAUCAUAGACCUUCACCUCAACCGAUUUCAGCCUCCAGAAUUAGGUUGAUGUCUCUAACUAAAACAAAAGUCUGGCAUGAGAAACAACUGAGAAGCUUAGCUGCGCAGACCCCACCAUUGCUCCAAAGGAAUUUCCAAAUGAAAUUAACCUGUGUUCCCACCAACUCACUAUGCCCAUAACUGACAACUUCCAGUUGCAGCCUCCUUCCUUCCACUCCCAAAAUGAGCUGAGGUUUUUCGCUUUUCUCUGCACAUUGCAUCUCCCAGCAUACCCACUUGCUGGCCUUCUCAGCAGCUUGGCCGCUAUUACUUCCCUUGGGGCACAUCUCAAGUGGGGCUGCACAGCAUUGGGCCAUGUUUGUGUGCUCCCAGCUGUGCUCAGAUAAGAUCUAAUCAGCACUCUGCAGGCAGGAAAACACCAUCUGGCUUGAGGUUUUACACUGUGCACCACCGUCUUCCUCUCUGGGCACUUAGUUCCUUGUAGUUUCAAUAACAUUGUCCUUAGUGAGCUCCAUGGAGUUUGGCACUUCUUUCCAUGUCACAGUUCUCCUUGUGGCAGGGCUCCCAGCUCAGGUUGGAAUUAAAUUAUUCAAUUAAUUAUAUAUAUAUAUAUAUUUCCUGUGAGUUGCAGUUUAAAAUAUUCCCCAUAGCAUCAGUGCCUCUCAUCUCCUGAGAAAGCUCACACUGUG